GAUGAAGAACGUAGCGAAAUGCGAUAAGUAGUGUGAAUUGCAGAAUUCAGUGAAUCAUCGAAUCUUUGAACGCACAUUGCGCCCCUUGGUAUUCCAUGGGGCAUGCCUGUUCGAGCGUCAUUUGUACCUUCAAGCUUUGCUUGGUGUUGGGUGUUUGUCCUGAGGGACUCGCCUUAAAGUAAUUGGCAGCCAGUGUUUGGUUUUGAAGCGGAGCACAAGUCGCGAUUCAAGGCUAUACACCAGCUUCCACAAGCCUUUUUCACUUUUGACCUCGGAUCAGGUAGGGAUACCCGCUGAACUUAAGCAUAUCAAUAAGCGGAGGA
rnacentral:misc_RNA from 1 species